GACGAACGUUGGCGGCGUGCUUAAUACAUGCAAGUCAACUGAAGCAGUGGUAGCAAUAUCGCUGUGGAGGUGGCGCACGGGUGAGUAACACGUAGGUAAUCUGCCUUCAGGUCUGGCAUAACUCCGGGAAACCGGGGCUAAUAGCAGAUGAUGCAGCGGCUCGACAUCGAGACAGUUGUUAAAGCUAUGGCGCCUGAAGAUGAGCCUGCGUCUGAUUAGCUAGUUGGCGGGGUAACGGCCCACCAAGGCAACGAUCAGUAGCUGGUCUGAGAGGAUGAUUAGCCACACUGGAACUGAGACACGGUCCAGACUCCUACGGGAGGCAGCAGUAAGGAAUAUUGCGCAAUGGGAGAAAUCCUGAAGCAGCAACGCCGCGUGAGGGACGAAGGGCUUUUGCUUGUAAACCUCUGUAGUGAGAGAAAAAAAUCCCAAUCUUUGGGACAUGAUGGUAUCUCAAAAGUAAGCCCCGGCUAACUACGUG
rnacentral:rRNA from 1 species